ACGUAGGGGGCAAGCGUUAUCCGGAAUUAUUGGGCGUAAAGAGUGCGUAGGUGGUUUUUUAAGCGUGAGGUGAAAGGCAAUAGCUUAACUAUUGUAAGCCUUGCGAACUGGAAGACUUGAGUGCAGGAGAGGAAAGUGGAAUUCCUAGUGUAGCGGUGAAAUGCGUUGAUAUUAGGAGGAACACCAGUGGCGAAGGCGACUUACUGGACUGAAACUGUCUCGGAGGCACGAAAGCGUGGGACGCAAACAG
rnacentral:rRNA from 1 species